UACGGGGGGGCAAGCGUUGUUCGGAAUUACUGGGCGUAAAGGGCUCGUAGGCGGCCAACUAAGUCAGACGUGAAAUCCCCUCGGCUUAACCGGGGAACUGCGUCUGAUACUGGAUGGCUCGAGUUUGGGAGAGGGAUGCGGAAUUCCAGGUGUAGCGGUGAAAUGCGUAGAUAUCUGGAGGAACACCGGUGGCGAAGGCGGCAUCCUGGACCAACACUGACGCUGAGGAGCGAAAGCGUGGGGAGCAAACAGGG
rnacentral:rRNA from 1 species